CGCGGGAUAGAGCAGCUGGUAGCUCGUCGGGCUCAUAACCCGGAGGUCGGUGGUUCGAGUCCGCCUCCCGCUACCA
rnacentral:tRNA from 2 species